UACGAAGUGUGCAAACGUUGCUCGGAAUUAUUGGGCGUAAAGCGCACGUAGGCGGCUCUGCAAGUCGGAUGUGAAAUCCCUCGGCUCAACCAAGGAAGUGCAUCCGAAACUGCGGAGCUUGAGUACUUAAGAGGAUCGCGGAAUUCCCGGUGUAGAGGUGAAAUUCGUAGAUAUCUGGAGGAACACCGGUGGCGAAGGCGGCAUCCUGGACCGACACUGACGCUGAGGCGCGAAAGCUAGGGGAGCAAACGGG
rnacentral:rRNA from 1 species